AGAGAUAUGGAAGUGUACAACCCACCCUUCAAAACGCCGUCGUACCGGUAUUUGCCCUAUUUGUCUUCGUGACCGACUCAACACUCUGUGCCCUAAUUGCGCGCACGUGCGCCCUUGCGAAUGUUGUCCCCUCGCCGCUGCCGCCGCCUCGUCAUCGUCUGCGUCGUCGUCGUCAUCUUCUUUCUCUUUGUUCUCGUCUACCUCCACCUCCGGCGAGCCGUCGAUGCGCCGGUCAAGAUCACUCGCCAUUCCAUUCCUCCGGUCGCGUUCAAAGUACGCGCCUAACCUCGAAUUCAUCGAUCAAAAGCCGCCGCCGCCGCCGCCCUCUCAACCUCCGGUAAAAGCGCCCGAUCAAAGCUUGCCGUU
rnacentral:lncRNA from 1 species